CCCGGGGGGGUGCCUAAUACAUGCAAGUCGUACGCACUGGCCCAACUGAUUGAUGGUGCUUGCACCUGAUUGACGAUGGAUCACCAGUGAGUGGCGGACGGGUGAGUAACACGUAGGUAACCUGCCCCGGAGCGGGGGAUAACAUUUGGAAACAGAUGCUAAUACCGCAUAACAACAAAAGCCACAUGGCUUUUGUUUGAAAGAUGGCUUUGGCUAUCACUCUGGGAUGGACCUGCGGUGCAUUAGCUAGUUGGUAAGGUAACGGCUUACCAAGGCGAUGAUGCAUAGCCGAGUUGAGAGACUGAUCGGCCACAAUGGAACUGAGACACGGUCCAUACUCCUACGGGAGGCAGCAGUAGGGAAUCUUCCACAAUGGGCGCAAGCCUGAUGGAGCAACACCGCGUGAGUGAAGAAGGGUUUCGGCUCGUAAAGCUCUGUUGUUGGAGAAGAACGUGCGUGAGAGUAACUGUUCAUGCAGUGACGGUAUCCAACCAGAAAGUCACGGCUAACUACGUGCCAGCAGCCGCGGUAAUACGUAGGUGGCAAGCGUUAUCCGGAUUUAUUGGGCGUAAAGCGAGCGCAGGCGGUUGCUUAGGUCUGAUGUGAAAGCCUUCGGCUUAACCGAAGAAGUGCAUCGGAAACCGGGCGACUUGAGUGCAGAAGAGGACAGUGGAACUCCAUGUGUAGCGGUGGAAUGCGUAGAUAUAUGGAAGAACACCAGUGGCGAAGGCGGCUGUCUGGUCUGCAACUGACGCUGAGGCUCGAAAGCAUGGGUAGCGAACAGGAUUAGAUACCCUGGUAGUCCAUGCCGUAAACGAUGAGUGCUAGGUGUUGGAGGGUUUCCGCCCUUCAGUGCCGGAGCUAACGCAUUAAGCACUCCGCCUGGGGAGUACGACCGCAAGGUUGAAACUCAAAGGAAUUGACGGGGGCCCGCACAAGCGGUGGAGCAUGUGGUUUAAUUCGAAGCUACGCGAAGAACCUUACCAGGUCUUGACAUCUUGCGCUAACCUUAGAGAUAAGGCGUUCCCUUCGGGGACGCAAUGACAGGUGGUGCAUGGUCGUCGUCAGCUCGUGUCGUGAGAUGUUGGGUUAAGUCCCGCAACGAGCGCAACCCUUGUUACUAGUUGCCAGCAUUAAGUUGGGCACUCUAGUGAGACUGCCGGUGACAAACCGGAGGAAGGUGGGGACGACGUCAGAUCAUCAUGCCCCUUAUGACCUGGGCUACACACGUGCUACAAUGGACGGUACAACGAGUCGCAAGCUCGCGAGAGUAAGCUAAUCUCUUAAAGCCGUUCUCAGUUCGGACUGUAGGCUGCAACUCGCCUACACGAAGUCGGAAUCGCUAGUAAUCGCGGAUCAGCAUGCCGCGGUGAAUACGUUCCCGGGCCUUGUACACACCGCCCGUCACACCAUGGGAGUUUGUAACGCCCAAAGUCGGUGGCCUAACCUUUAUGGAGGGAGCCGCUAAAGCGGACCAGUGG
rnacentral:rRNA from 1 species